GAGUGCAGAAGGGNAGAGUGGAAUUCCAUGUGUAGCGGUGAAAUGCGUAGAUAUAUGGAGGAACACCAGUGGCGAAAGCGGCUCUCUGGUCUGUCACUGACGCUGAGGCUCGAAAGCGUGGGUAGCGAACAGGAUUAGAUACCCUGGUAGUCCACGCCGUAAACGAUGAGUGCUAGGUGUUAGGCCCUUUCCGGGGCUUAGUGCCGGAGCUAACGCAAUAAGCACUCCGCCUGGGGAGUACGACCGCAAGGUUGAAACUCAAAGGAAUUGACGGGGGCCCGCACAAGCGGUGGAGCAUGUGGUUUAAUUCGAAGCAACGCGAAGAACCUUACCAGGUCUUGACAUCCCGAUGCUAUUCUUAGAGAUAGGAAGUUACUUCGGUACAUCGGAGACAGGUGGUGCAUGGUUGUCGUCAGCUCGUGUCGUGAGAUGUUGGGUUAAGUCCCGCAACGAGCGCAACCCUUAUUGUUAGUUGCCAUCAUUAAGUUGGGCACUCUAGCGAGACUGCCGGUAAUAAACCGGAGGAAGGUGGGGAUGACGUCAAAUCAUCAUGCCCCUUAUGACCUGGGCUACACACGUGCUACAAUGGUCGGUACAACGAGUUGCGAGCCGGUGACGGCAAGCUAAUCUCUGAAAGCCGAUCUCAGUUCGGAUUGGAGGCUGCAACUCGCCUCCAUGAAGUCGGAAUCGCUAGUAAUCGCGGAUCAGCACGCCGCGGUGAAUACGUUCCCGGGCCUUGUACACACCGCCCGUCACACCACGAGAGUUUGUAACACCCGA
rnacentral:rRNA from 1 species